UGCAGAGGUGCAUGCCAGAGGUGGUCCCAGCUACUCGGGAGCCUGAGGUGGGAGGAUCGCUGAAGCCCAGGAAGCUGAGGCUGAGGUGCAUACCACCACACUCCAGCCUGGGCGACAGCAAGACCCUGUCUAACACACACACACACACCCAACACACACACACGGACACCCUAACACACACAUACACACACCCUAACACACACCCUGUGUAAAACAACACUCUCAACCCUGUCUAAAAAACACACACUCCCUAAAACACACACACCCAUCUCACACACAUGCACUCACCCUAACACACACACCCUAACACACAUACACACCGUCUAAAACACACACACCCCCGUCUCACACACAUGCACUCAAACACACAUACACACCCUAACACACAUACACAUCGUCUAAAAUACACACCCCCGUCUCACACACAUGCACUCAAACACACACACCCUAACACACAUACACACCGUCUAAAACACACACACACCCCCAUCUCACACACGUGCACUCACUCUAACAAACACACACAUCCUAACACACAUACACACCGUCUGAAACACAUAUACCACCGUCUCACACACUUGCACUCACUCUCACACACACAUCCUAACACACAUACACACCGUCUGAAACACACACACCCCCAUCUCACACAUGCACUCACCCAACACACACACACCCUAACACACAUACACACCGUCUGAAACACACACACCCCCAUCUCACACAUGCACUCACCCAACACACACUGUCUAAAACACACACACCCUGUCUAAAACACACACACCACCUAACACACACACCCUGUCUCACACACACCCUAUCUAAAACACACACACCCUAACACACACACCCUGUCUCUCACACACACACCCUGUCUAAAACACACACACACCCUAACACAUACACAUUGUGUCUAAAACACACACACGCACCCUAACACACACACCCUGUCUAAAACACACACCCCAUCACACGCACACACCCUAACACACAUACACCCUGAUUCACACACAUACAACCUGUCUAAAACACACACCCUAACACACACUCUAACACACACAUACACACAGACACUUUGUGGUAUUCCUGAGACAUUCAACCACUGCAG
rnacentral:lncRNA from 10 species